rnacentral:rRNA from 1 species
GACGAACGCUGGCGGCGUGCUUAACACAUGCAAGUCGAACGGAAAGGCCCUGCUUGCAGGGUACUCGAGUGGCGAACGGGUGAGUAACACGUGGGUGAUCUGCCCUGCACUUCGGGAUAAGCUUGGGAAACUGGGUCUAAUACCGGAUAGGAGCCAUCUUUAGUGUGGUGGUUGGAAAGUUUUUUCGGUGUAGGAUGAGCUCGCGGCCUAUCAGCUUGUUGGUGGGGUAAUGGCCUACCAAGGCGGCGACGGGUAGCCGGCCUGAGAGGGUGUACGGCCACAUUGGGACUGAGAUACGGCCCAGACUCCUACGGGAGGCAGCAGUGGGGAAUAUUGCACAAUGGGCGCAAGCCUGAUGCAGCGACGCCGCGUGCGGGAUGAAGGCCUUCGGGUUGUAAACUCCUUUCGCUAGGGACGAAGCUUUUUUGUGACGGUACCUAGAUAAGAAGCACCGGCUAACUACGUG